UUAAAGCAAAUAAGGGCGCAUGGCGGAUGCCUUGGCACUAAGAGGCGAUGAAGGACGUGGUAAGCUGCGAUAAGCUGCGGGUAGCUGCAUACGAGCGACAAACCGUAGAUUUCCGAAUGGGACAACCUGGUAUACUGAAGGUAUAUCAUCCCGCCGUGAGGCGGGAAGCCAACCUGGAGAACUGAAACAUCUAAGUACCCAGAGGAAAAGAAAAUAAACUAAUGAUUCCCCGAGUAGUGGCGAGCGAAAAGGGAAGAGCCCAAACCGGGGGAGCGUGCUCCCCCGGGGUUAUAGGACUGCAUUUAGAAACUGACAUCAAACCGAACCAUCUGGAAAGUUGGGCCAUAGCAGGUGAAAGCCCUGUAGGUAUAAAUUGUCAGGGACGAGCGGUAUCCUGAGUAGCGCGGGACCGGAGAAAUCCUGCGUGAAUUUGCCGGCACCAUCCGGUAAGGCUAAAUACUCCUUAGUGACCGAUAGUGAACCAGUACCGUAAGGGAAAGGUGAAAAGUACUGCGAAUAGCAGAGUGAAAUAGUUCCUGAAACCGUGCGCCUACAAGCGGUCGGAGCCUGAAAGGGUGACGGCGUGCCUUUUGCAUAAUGAGCCUACGAGUUGCUCCUCACUGGCGAGGUUAAGUUCAAAAUUAACGGAGCCGCAGCGAAAGCGAGUCCAAAUAGGGCGUUUAGUCAGUGGGGGCAGACGCGAAACUUUGUGAUCUAUCCAUGGGCAGGAUGAAGUUGUGGUAACACACAAUGGAGGUCCGAACCCAUUAGCGUUGAAAAGCUAUGGGAUGACCUGUGGAUAGGGGUGAAAGGCCAAUCAAACUGAGAAAUAGCUCGUUCUCCCCGAAAUGUUUUUAGGAACAGCGUCACAUAUAAGAAGUAUCAUAGAGGUAGAGCUACUGAUUGGGCUAGGGGGCUUCACCGCCUACCAAACCCUGACAAACUCCGAAUGCUAUGAUAUAUCUGUGGCAGUGAGGCUGCGGGCGCUAAGGUCCGUGGCCGAGAGGGAAAUAACCCAGACUAUCAUCUAAGGUCCCUAAAUCUAUGUUAAGUUGAUCAAACGAAGUUCGAAUCCUAAGACAGCCAGGAUGUUGGCUUGGAAGCAGCCAUUCAUUUAAAGAGUGCGUAACAGCUCACUGGUCGAGGGUUCGGGCACGGAAAAUAAUCGGGCAUCAAACAUAGUACCGAAGUUAUAGACUCCGUAAGGAGUGGUAGGGGAGCAUUCCAAACAGCGUCGAAGGUGUAUCGUGAGGUAUGCUGGAGCGUUUGGAAAAGAAAAUGUAGGCAUGAGUAACGAUAAAUACGGUGAAAAACCGUAUCGCCGUAAGACUAAGGGUUCCUGAUCAACGUUAAUCGGAUCAGGGUUAGUCGGGUCCUUAGGCGAACCCGAAAGGGGCAGUUGAUGGAAAGCUGGUUAAUAUUCCAGCACUUCUGAUAAUUCCGAUGGGGUGACGGAGAAGUGAAAGGUCCGCGGGGCAACGGAAGUUCCCGUUAAAGCGAGUAGGUAUAUUUUCUGUUGGCAAAUCCGCAGAGAAUGCCGAACGUGAUAGUACUCAAGGGUUUCGGCCUGCGAGAUAGUGACCCUAAACAAGCUCACGAGAAAAACCUCUAAGGUGUGGUUAUCAGAACCCGUACCGUAAACCGACACAGGUAGUCGAGAUGAGUAUUCUAAGGCGCUCGGGUGAGCCGUGGAGAAGGAACUAGGCAAAUUGUAGCUGUAACUUCGGGAUAAAGCUAUCCCGCCGCAAGGCGGGAUUCAAUGAAAUGGUUCAACCAACUGUUUAGCAAAAACACAGGGCCCUGCAAAUUCGAAAGAAGACGUAUAGAGCCUGAUACCUGCCCGGUGCCGGAAGGUUAAGGGAGCUUGUCAGCCGUAAGGUGAAGCUUGCGACCGAAGCCCCGGUAAACGGCGGCCGUAACUAUAACGGUCCUAAGGUAGCGAAAUUCCUUGUCGGGUAAGUUCCGACCUGCACGAAUGGUCUAAUGAGUUGAACGCUGUCUCCUCCACGAGCCCGGUGAAAUUGUAGUAUCGGUGAAGAUGCCGGUUACCCGCCACGGGACGGAAAGACCCCGUGAACCUUCACUACAACUUUGCAUUGAUUUUGAGUAACAGAUGUGUAGCAUAGUUGGGAGACUUUGAACCGGUGGCGCCAGCCAUCGGGGAGUCAACGUUGAAAUACCAACCUUCUGUUGCUUAGAGUCUAAUCCAGUGAUGGAAACAGUGCAUGGUGGGUAGUUUGACUGGGGUGGUCGCCUCCUAAAGUGUAACGGAGGCUCGCAAAGGUACCCUCAGUACGGUUGGUAAUCGUACGCAGAGCGCAUUAGUAAAAGGGUGCUUGACUGUGAGGCUGACCAGCCGAGCAGGUGCGAAAGCAGGCUAAAGUGAUCCGGUGGUUUCCGUAUGGAAGGGCCAUCGCUCAAAGGAUAAAAGGUACUCCGGGGAUAACAGGCUGAUCUCCCCCAAGAGCUCAUAUCGACGGGGAGGUUUGGCACCUCGAUGUCGGUUCGUCACAUCCUGGGGCUGGAGAAGGUCCCAAGGGUUGGGCUGUUCGCCCAUUAAAGUGGCACGUGAACUGGGUUCAGAACGUCGCAAGACAGUUCGGUCCCUAUCUGUGGUGGGCGCUAGUAAAUUGCGAGGACAUGCUCUUAGUACGAGAGGACCGGAGCGUAUGUGCCGCUGGUGUAUCGGUUGUGCCGCCAGGUGCAGUGCCGAGUAGCUAUGCACAGUCAGGAUAAGCGCUGAAAGCAUCUAAGCGCGAAACCUUCCUCAAGAUGAGUUUACUUUUAAGGGCCGUCAGAGACUAUGACGUUGAUAGGCUGCAGGUGUACAGGUGGUAACAUCAAAGCCGAGCAGUACUAAUUGCCCGUAAGCUUUAAUCUUAUUU
rnacentral:rRNA from 1 species